rnacentral:rRNA from 1 species
UAACGAAUCUUCCGCAAUGGGCGAAAGCCUGACGGAGCAAUGCCGCGUGCGGGAUGAAGUACCUUUGGUAUGUAAACCGCUGUCAGGGGACGGAACCAAUGAUUGUCCCCAGAGGAAGUGGCGACUAACUCUGUGCCAGCAGUCGCGGUAAUACAGAGGCCACAAGCGUUAGUCGGAAUCACUGGGCUUAAAGGGUGCGUAGGCGGAUCGGUGAGUGCUUUGUGAAAGCCCGCGGCUCAACCGCGGAAC